GGCAACAUGGCCGAGCGGUCUAAGGCGCUGGAAUCAGGCUCUCUUUGUCUUAUCCAGUCCGAAAGGGCGUGGGUUCGAAUCCCACUGUUGUCA